UACGGAGGGGGCGAGCGUUAUUCGGAAUUAUUGGGCGUAAAGGGCGCGUAGGCGGUGCGGUAAGUCACCUGUGAAAUCUCUGGGCUCAACUCAGAGUCUGCAGGCGAAACUGCCGGGCUUGAGUGUGGGAGAGGUGAGUGGAAUUUCCGGUGUAGCGGUGAAAUGCGUAGAUAUCGGAAGGAACACCUGUGGCGAAAGCGGCUCACUGGACCACAACUGACGCUGAUGCACGAAAGCUAGGGGAGCAAACAGG
rnacentral:rRNA from 1 species